UAGCGCACCUUAGAGGUGAGGGCCUGACUUUUAAUCAGUAGGUCAUGGGUUCGAAUCCCAUCGCGCUCACCA
rnacentral:tRNA from 1 species